rnacentral:precursor_RNA from 14 species
CUACCUUCAAUGAUGUUAUGUACAGUACCUCACUCAGUAAGGCAUUGUUCUUCUAUACUAAUAAAUGAACAGCGCCUUUCUGUGUAGCGUAAUGUGCAACCUGGACAGCAUUUGUAGU